GCAGCCGCGGUAAUACGGGGGAUGCGAGCGUUAUCCGGAUUUAUUGGGUUUAAAGGGUGCGUAGGCGGUAGAUUAAGUUAGUGGUCAAAUCGAGAGGCUCAACCUCUUUCAGCCAUUAAUACUGGUCAACUAGAGUGUGGACGAGGUAGGCGGAAUAAGUCAAGUAGCGGUGAAAUGCUUAGAUAUGACUUAGAACUCCGAUAGCGAAGGCAGCUUACCAGGCCAUAACUGACGCUGAAGCACGAGAGCGUGGGUAGCGAACAGGAUUAGAUACCCC
rnacentral:rRNA from 1 species